rnacentral:rRNA from 1 species
GAGUGAAUUGGGAACAGUCCAGUGCCGAAUCGUGUUGCUUAGGCAGCAUGACUUGUGGCGUAUAGGCGGUUUGCUCGGCUUCGGCUGAUGGCCCAAGUUUCCCAUGACCGGGGCACCAGAGAAGGUGAUAGACCUGUAGGGCUUGACGCUGUUGUCGAUUGGACUGUCUUGGAGUCGGGUUGUUUGGGAUCGCAGCCCAAAGAAGGUGGUAAACUUCAUCUAAGACUAAAUAUGCCUACGAGACCGAUAGCGAACAAGUACCGUGAGGGAAAGUUGCAAAGCACUUUGAAGAGAGAGUUAAAGAGGACGUGAAACUGGCACGAUGGAAACGGAUAGAGCUAGCGAACUCGUUCGUAUUCAGCCAACGGUUCUGGGUUCGGUUUUGUUGUGUUUCAGUUUUGUGCACGCAGGAUCGAGCGCCUGGGUUCCAAGGUGCAUUUGCGGACGAUUGCGCCGAGACUUGUGGGGCAGCGGUAGGACCCGGUUCAUGAGGCCUCCUUUUGGUUGUACCCUGAACUGGUAUACGACUGUUUGCUCUGCUCGUAAUGUUGGUUCGGCCUCGGGUGAAACUGCCGUUGGCGUUCUCUUGUGGUGGCAACAGCACGCUUUGCCUAACUUGGGGAUUCCGGCUGCGGUGUAGCUCUCGAACUGUCUCUCGGUGUAAAAGCUGGUCAUCUAUCCGACCCGUCUUGAAACACGGACCAAGGAGUUUAGCGUAUGUGCGAGCCACUGGGUAUUGCAAAACCUAUGGGCACAAUGAAAGUGAAGGCUCGGUCGCCGAGCUUACAUGCGACCGUGCUAGCUUCGGCUGGUGCGGGCAGCAUGGUCCCGUUUCAGUCGCUUGCGACGGAGCGGAGACAGAGUGCAUGCGCUGAGACCCGAAAGAUGGUGAACUAUUCCUGAGCAGGACGAAGCCAGAGGAAAC